rnacentral:rRNA from 1 species
GACGGAGGGUGCAAGCGUUGCUCGGAAUUACUGGGCGUAAAGGGCUCGUAGGCGGCCAACUAAGUCAGACGUGAAAUCCCUCGGCUUAACCGGGGAACUGCGUCUGAUACUGGAUGGCUAGAGUUUGGGAGAGGGAUGCGGAAUUCCAGGUGUAGCGGUGAAAUGCGUAGAUAUUGGGAAGAACACCAGUGGCGAAGGCGGCUAACUGGUCCAGAUCUGACGCUGAGGUGCGAAAGCGUGGGGAGCAAACAGG